rnacentral:rRNA from 1 species
UCCAGACUCCUACGGGAGGCAGCAGUGGGGGAUAUUGCACAAUGGGGGGAACCCUGAUGCAGCGACGCCGCGUGGGUGAAGGAGCGUUUCGGCGCGUAAAGCCCUCUCGGCAGGGAAGAAGGAGGACGGUACCUGACUAAGAAGCCCCGGCUAACUACGUGCCAGCAGCCGCGGUAAUACGUAGGAUCCGAGCAUUAUCCGGAGUGACUGGGUGUAAAGAGUUGCGUAGGUGGCAUAGUAAGUAGCUAGUGAAAUCUGGUGGCUCAACCAUUCAGACUAUUAGCUAAACUGCUAAGCUCGAGACCGUUAGGGGUAACUGGAAUUUCUAGUGUAGGAGUGAAAUCCGUAGAUAUUAGAAGGAACACCGAUAGCGUAGGCAGGUUACUGGGACGGUUCUGACACUAAGGCACGAAAGCGUAGGGAGCAAACGGGAUUAGAUACCCGAGUAA